CAGUAGCCGCGGUAAUACGUAGGGUGCAAGCGUUAAUCGGAAUUACUGGGCGUAAAGCGUGCGCAGGCGGUUAUAUAAGACAGAUGUGAAAUCCCCGGGCUCAACCUGGGAACUGCAUUUGUGACUGUAUAGCUAGAGUACGGCAGAGGGGGAUGGAAUUCCGCGUGUAGCAGUGAAAUGCGUAGAUAUGCGGAGGAACACCGAUGGAGAAGGCAAUCCCCUGGGCCUGUACUGACGCUCAUGCACGAAAGCGUGGGGAGCAAACAGGAUUAGAUACCCCGGUAGUCCCUGUCUCUUAUAC
rnacentral:rRNA from 1 species